rnacentral:rRNA from 1 species
GACGAACGCUGGCGGCGUGCUUAACACAUGCAAGUCGAACGAUGAACCAGGGCUUGCCCUGGGGAUUAGUGGCGAACGGGUGAGUAACACGUGGGCAACCUGCCCCAGACACCGGGAUAACCUCUCGAAAGAGUGGCUAAUACCGGAUAUGACCACUUUGGGCAUCCAACGGUGGUGGAAAGGAUUCUGGUCUGGGAUGGGCCCGCGGCCUAUCAGCUUGUUGGGGGGGUAACGGCCUACCAAGGCGACGACGGGUAGCCGGCCUGGGAGGGGGACCGGCCAAACUGGGACGGAGACACGGCCCAGACUCCUACGGGAGGCAGCAGUGGGGAAUAUUGCACAAUGGGCGAAAGCCUGAUGCAGCGACGCCGCGUGAGGGAUGAAGGCCUUCGGGUUGUAAACCUCUUUCAGUAGGGGACGAAGCGAAAGUGACUGUACCCGCAGAAGAAGCGCCGGCUAACUACGUGCCAGCAGCCGCCGUAACAC